CUAUAGUGCGUGCGCCGCGGCAAAAUCCGCUGCCGGGUUUCGCAGCCUGAAUA
rnacentral:ncRNA from 1 species